rnacentral:rRNA from 1 species
AUUGAACGCUGGCGGCAGGCCUAACACAUGCAAGUCGAACGAGUGGCGGACGGGAGUGUAAUGUCUGGGAAACUGCCCGAUGGAGGGGGAUAACUACUGGAAAGGGUAGCUAAUACCGCAUACCAUCGGUUGUGCCCAGAUGGGAUUAGCUUGUAGGUGGGGUAACGGCCCACAUAGGCGACGUUCCCUAGCUGGUCUGAGAGGAUGACCAGCAAACCGGGAACUGAGCAAGGGCCCAGACUCCUCGGGGGGGAAGCAGUGGGAAAUAUUGCACAUUGGGGGCAAGCCGGCUGCAGCCAUGCCGCGUGGAUGAGGAAGGUCUUCGGGUGGUAAAGUACGUUGAGCGAGGAGGCGUUACUCGAAGAAGAAGCACCGGCUAACUCCGUGCCAGCAGCCGCGGUAAUUC